AGGACAUUCCUGGACUGACAGAUA
rnacentral:piRNA from 1 species